UACGUAGGGAGCGAGCGUUGUUCGGAAUUACUGGGCGUAAAGAGUGUGUAGGCGGUGCUCUAAGUUCGGUGUGAAAUCUCCUGGCUCAACUGGGAGGGUGCGCCGGAAACUGGAGUGCUUGAGUGUGGGAGAGGAAAGCGGAAUUCCUGGUGUAGCGGUGAAAUGCGUAGAUAUCAGGAGGAACACCUGUGGUGUAGACGGCUUUCUGGACCAUAGCUGACGCUGAGACACGAAAGCGUGGGUAGCAAACAGG
rnacentral:rRNA from 1 species